CCAACACUGGGACUGAGACACUGCCCAGACUCCUACGGGAGGCUGCAGUCGAGAAUCAUUCGCAAUGGGCGAAAGCCUGACGAUGCGACGCCGUGUGAGCGAUGAAGGCCUUAGGGUCGUAAAGCUCUUUCGCCUGGGAGCAAGAGAAGCUGGCUAAUAUCCGGCUAAUUUGAGGGUACCAGGUAAAGAAGCACCGGCUAACU
rnacentral:rRNA from 1 species